AGAGUUUGAUCCUAGCUCAGGAUGAACGCUGGCGGCGUGUCUAAGGCAUGCAAGUCGCGCGACGUGCACUUCGCAAGAGGUGCGGCGAGCGGCAAACGGGUGAGUAACACAUUAGUAACCUACCUCUAAGACGGGGAUAGCCUUCCGAAAGGAAGAUUAAUACCCGAUAGUCAUGCGGGGACAAAAGUCAUUCGCAUGUAAAGCUUCGGCGCUUGGAGAGGGGCUUAUGGCCCAUCAGCUAGUUGGUAAGGUAAUGGCUUACCAAGGCUAUGACGUCUAGGGGAGCUGAGAGGCUGACCCCCACCGAUGGUACUGAGACACGGACCAUACACCUACGGGUGGCUGCAGUCGAGAAUCUUCCGCAAUGGACGAAAGUCUGACGGAGCGACGCCGCGUGGAGGAUGAAGUGCUUCGGCAUGUAAACUCCUUUUGCCAGGGAAAAAGUUAUUGAUGGUACCUGGAGAAUAAGAGGUUGCUAAACUCGUGCCAGCAGCAGCGGUAAUACGAGUGCCUCGAGCGUUAUCCGGAAUCAUUGGGCGUAAAGGGUGUGUAGGCGGUAGUGUUAGUCUUGCGUUAAAUGUAUCGGCUCAACCGGUACGCUGCGUGGGAAACGGCACAACUAAGAGGAUGGAAGGGGUCUCUGGAACUCAUGGUGUAGCGGUGAAAUGCGUUGAUAUCAUGGGGAACACCAAAAGCGAAGGCAAGAGACUGGUCCACUCCUGACGCUGAAACACGAAAGCGUGGGUCGCGAAUGGGAUUAGAUACCCCAGUAGUCCACGCCCUAAACGAUGAUCUCUAGCUUUGAGGAGUAUCGACCCUCUUCGAGGCUAAGCUAACGCGAUAAGAGAUCCGCCUGGGUAGUACGGCCGCAAGGUUGAAACUCAAAGGAAUAGACGGGGACUUGCACAAGCGGUGGAACAUGUGGCCUUAUCGUGA
rnacentral:rRNA from 1 species